UACGUAGGGUGCAAGCGUUAAUCGGAAUUACUGGGCGUAAAGCGUGCGCAGGCGGCUUUGCAAGACAGAUGUGAAAUCCCCGGGCUUACCUGGGAACUGCAUUUGUGACUGCAUGGCUGGAGUGCGGCAGAGGGGGAUGGAAUUCCGCGUGUAGCAGUGAAAUGCGUAGAUAUGCGGAGGAACACCGAUGGCGAAGGCAAUCCCCUGGGCCUGCACUGACGCUCAUGCACGAAAGCGUGGGGAGCAAACAGG
rnacentral:rRNA from 1 species